rnacentral:lncRNA from 1 species
CUCUGGGCUGCAGCUGACUCACCGGGACUCUGAUAAUAUUAAUACUCACAGGCCAGACUACAGCCUGUUCUCCAGAGGCCCCCAGGGGAAUGAAUCAAUGACUGUCUGAUAUCCUGAAUGUGUGCGAGAGGCCGACCUGGAGGAGGCCGCUAACCCAGCUUGAGGAACUGGCAAGGCUUUCCUGAGGAAGGGUCUUUUGGGCUGGGCCUUGAAGUCUGAAUAGGAGUUCACCACGGAGACAAUUUAGGGAGGGCUUGACAGGAGAGGAUGUUGGGGAAACUGCAAGUAUCUGAUGUGCCUGGGCCCUUUGGGAAGCGUCUGGAGAGACUUUGGUGGGGAGGUCUGGACUGGACACCAUUUCUUUCCUGGCCAACACCCAGUAAGACAGCGUGCAACAGGAGGUCAGAGGGGACCCUGGCUGCUUGAAGCAAUGGACUGGACCCAUUGUACAGAUGGGAAGACCGAGGUGGGCAGAGACAAAGUCCAUGCUUACACACCUAAGCUCAGCUUGGGUUCUGGAGCCCAUGAAGGCAAAAGACAGGCUCCCCUGGAGUUGGGCUCCACACAGAGGCAAGUUGACUGGGCCACCUUCUGGGCCCAGCGCUGGGGGCACUGGGAGAUCUGCCAAAAAAAUUAGCAGAAAGUAGGCACUAGAGCUCUGGAUCAGGCCUCCCAGCUAACAGUCGCAGGACCUCUGGGCUUCCUUCCCCCAAAGCUGAGGGAAGGUGAGCUUUUCCUCCCCCUUAGCCCUGGUCCAGAGAAGAAAACAGAGCUUGCAAGGUCACACAGCAAGAAUGUGGCACUGGAACUCAGCUAAGAGGUGGGGGAGGGCCUUGGAAUCUAGAGAUUAGCUGGGAUCUGGAAUGCCUGGGGCAGGAGUGUCCUCAGAGGAGGACCGCAGGGCUCCAGUGGUCUCGGGAGCUGCAGCUUCGUUCCCUAAGGGCGAUGGGGAGCUGUGGAGGGUAUGAGAGCAGGAGAGAAGCAAAAGGUGUUUCAGGAGGUGGCUCUAUAUUGUAAAGGACCGAAGAGGAGUCCAGCACAGACCCUGUGACCUUGGAUUUCAGAUUUCUCUCCUCCUCUGGCCAAGCAGAAGUUUGUUAGAAGUUGUAAUAAUGGGCCGGGCGCGGUGGCUCACGCCUGUAAUCCCAGCACUUUUGGCGGCCGAGGCGGGUGGAUCAUGAGGUCAAGAGAU